GACAGAGGUCCCGAGCGUUAGGCGGAAUCACUGGGCUUAAAGCGUGUGUAGGCGGAUGCCUAAGUACCUUGUGAAAUCCCACGGCUCACCCGUGGAACUGCUUGGUAUACUGGGUGUCUUGAGCCACUUAGGGGCUACCGGUACAAAUGGUGGAGCGGUGAAAUGCGUAGAUAUCAUUUGGAACGCCAAUGGUGAAAACAGGUAGCUGGGAGUGUGCUGACGCUGAGACACGAAAGCCAGGGGAGCAAACGGG
rnacentral:rRNA from 1 species